rnacentral:lncRNA from 1 species
UAUCCCUCAAAACUGGUUCGACAAUCACUAUACUACAACAUUUGUUUUAGGAGCCUUGAAAACUCCUAACAAAACACGUCUAGAGGCUUUCUUGUAGUUAGUAGAAAUUUCUGGGCUAAAAAUGCAAUUUCUGGAAAUAGACUGGGCCACGUGAAACGCGCCGGUGUCGUUUUCCUUCAAAAAUAUCGACUCUUACUUCUGUUUAUUUUCUCACAAUUAUGAGUUUCUUCAUCUUUAUGCUCUAAAUGACUCCUUGAUCUUUAUAAUACUUCAAAACGUAUGUAAACUUGAAAGCACCC